rnacentral:rRNA from 1 species
AGUCGAGGGGUAUUUGUCUUCGGGCAGAGAGACCGGCGCACGGGUGCGUAACGCGUAUGCAAUCUACCUUUUACAGAGGGAUAGCCCAGAGAAAUUUGGAUUAAUACCUCAUAGUAUUAUGACUCGGCAUCGAGAUGUAAUUAAAGUUCCAACGGUAAAAGAUGAGCAUGCGUCCCAUUAGCUAGAUGGUAAGGUAACGGCUUACCAUGGCUACGAUGGGUAGGGGUCCUGAGAGGGAGAUCCCCCACACUGGUACUGAGACACGGACCAGACUCCUACGGGAGGCAGCAGUGAGGAAUAUUGGACAAUGGGCGCAAGCCUGAUCCAGCCAUGCCGCGUGCAGGAUGACGGUCCUAUGGAUUGUAAACUGCUUUUGUACGGGAAGAAGCAACCCUACGUGUAGGGUCUUGACGGUACCGUAAGAAUAAGGAUCGGCUAACUCCGUGCCAGCAGCCGCGGUAAUACGGAGGAUCCAAGCGUUAUCCGGAAUCAUUGGGUUUAAAGGGUCCGUAGGCGGUUUGGUAAGUCAGUGGUGAAAGCCCAUCGCUCAACGGUGGAACGGCCAUUGAUACUGCCAGACUUGAAUUACUGGGAAGUAACUAGAAUAUGUAGUGUAGCGGUGAAAUGCUUAGAGAUUACAUGGAAUACCAAUUGCGAAGGCAGGUUACUACCGGUGGAUUGACGCU